UACGUAGGGUGCAAGCGUUAAUCGGAAUUACUGGGCGUAAAGCGUGCGCAGGCGGUUCCAUAAGACAGAUGUGAAAUCCCCGGGCUCAACCUGGGAACUGCAUUUGUGACUGUGGGGCUAGAGUACGGUAGAGGGGGAUGGAAUUCCGCGUGUAGCAGUGAAAUGCGUAGAUAUGCGGAGGAACACCAAUGGCGAAGGUAAUCCCCGGGACCUGUACUGACCCUCAUGCACGAAAGCGUGGGGAGCAAACAGG
rnacentral:rRNA from 1 species